CAUUCACGGAGAGUUUGAUCCUGGCUCAGGACGAACGCUGGCGGCGUGCUUAACACAUGCAAGUCGAACGAUGAACCGCUUUCGGGCGGGGAUUAGUGGCGAACGGGUGAGUAACACGUGGGCAAUCUGCCCUGCACUCUGGGACAAGCCCUGGAAACGGGGUCUAAUACCGGAUAUGACUGUUCAUCGCAUGGUGGAUGGUGUAAAGCUCCGGCGGUGCAGGAUGAGCCCGCGGCCUAUCAGCUUGUUGGUGAGGUAGUGGCUCACCAAGGCGACGACGGGUAGCCGGCCUGAGAGGGCGACCGGCCACACUGGGACUGAGACACGGCCCAGACUCCUACGGGAGGCAGCAGUGGGGAAUAUUGCACAAUGGGCGAAAGCCUGAUGCAGCGACGCCGCGUGAGGGAUGACGGCCUUCGGGUUGUAAACCUCUUUCAGCAGGGAAGAAGCGAAAGUGACGGUACCUGCAGAAGAAGCGCCGGCUAACUACGUGCCAGCAGCCGCGGUAAUACGUAGGGCGCA
rnacentral:rRNA from 1 species